rnacentral:rRNA from 1 species
GGGCCGUGGGGCUGGGCUCUGAGAGGAUUGAGCCAUGCAUGUCUCAGUACGAACUGUUUUAGAGUGUGCCCGCGCGUGGGUCUUUAUAACUCUUUUGGUUCCUUAUAUCUUACUCCUUUACUUGGAUAACUGGGGUAAUUUCAAAACUAAAAACUGGCAUCAGACCUCUGACUCUGGAUGGGAUGCGUGCUUUUAAUAAAUCGACGCCGCUCGCUCGACGCCCUCCCGUCCUAAUUCGUUAUUUUUCAUGAAUCUGGACGACUUUUGCGGCUCGCAUGCUCCAUUCCCAUUUACGCCCCUUCAACUUGCCUGCCUUAUCUACUUUCCUUGCAUGUUUCUGCCACUACCAUGGUUGUUACGAAGGCUUCCAAUCAGGGAUCCUUUCAGAGACUACCCCCGACAACAGUACACAUCCACGAAGGCCCCAAGCGGAAAGUACCCCUCCCGGACGCUAAUGAGGCUCUUAACCAAGUGAAAAACACAACCAAAACAUCGCGGAGGGGGGGGAGAACAAACAACAGACGAA